rnacentral:misc_RNA from 1 species
AAGUCGUAACAAGGUCUCCGUAGGUGAACCUGCGGAGGGAUCAUUACACAAAAAAUAUGCAGGCCAACACUGCGGCUGUGCCCUCGGGCCAGUCUGCUGAGGCUGAAGUAUUUUUCACCCAUGUCUUUUGCGCACUUGUUGUUUCCUGGGCGGGUUCGCUCGCCAUCAGGACCACACCAUAAACCUUUUUUAUGCAGUUGCAAUCAGCGUCAGUAUCACAAAUGUAUAAUCAUUUACAACUUUCAACAACGGAUCUCUUGGUUCUG